rnacentral:lncRNA from 1 species
CUCCUCAGAGCUGACCCCGCUCUCAGCUGAAGGAAGGAGCUCUGAGGAAGGUUGUGAAUGUGACCUCCUCACCGUCCGAGCAGAUUUACAGAAAACAAACAAACUGAAAUCAGGAGUGAAAACGUGUGAAAUGGAUCCACUGUGGAGAGGACAGCAGGAAAUAUGAACAUGUUUACAUAAAGGCGCUGCGUGGGUCAGAGGAUCCUGUCAGAGAGCUCUGUGCACGCAGGUGUCGGAAGCAAUGUGACGCUGAGAACUCCGAUUCACGACCUGCAGAGCUCGGCUCUGUUCUGGCACUUUAAUGACGGGAAGGAGAUUGUAAAUGUUGCCUCGGUGAGCUCCUCCACGCUCAGACUGAACACGUCCUACGAGGGCAGAGCGUGGAUUAAUCCAGCCAACGGCCACUUGACCCUGGGUGCGCUGACACUGCAGGACAGUGGGGAAUAUAUCAUCACCAUCGUAUACAAACACGGUCAGAGCGACGUUGCAAAGAUACGCCUCACGGUCUCAGGGACCCAGAACGGAGGAAAUCCACGCGCUCGCUCUUCACUCGUCACAUGUGGACGCUCGGUUUUCAGCACGUACGGGCAAACCGUGUCAGGACCAGGUGUGGCGGUCCCAGCUGCAACAAUGAAAUGUAAUGAUUGA